ensembl:lncRNA
CCCUCUCAACCCAACCGUGCUGUGAUUCUAUGGUUCUGUCUGUUGGCUGUUUGAUGAGCCACACUCCGUACCACUGUAUUUUAUGAAAUCCCUGCCUUUGCACCAACACCUGGCAAGGUUUGCCACUCUCUGUAUACCAGGAAUAAGACAGCAACCAAACGCAGCACGGCAGCCUAUGAAAGCAGAAUUUGGGUGUUGGCAGAGGAGAUGCUGGCAGCUCCGUGAGCUUCUCCUGCAGGACCAGGUCAUGCCAGUGUUUUCCAAGGAGCCCAAAGGAAUUUUUCACGUGCAGAGAACACUGGACUGGAUGGACCCAACCCCAGAGCACCGUUGCUUUAAUGGAACCUCUGCCUUUUCUUGAUUUUGACACCAACGUGUUGCAGAACAAAAGGCAAAUCUUCUCCCCGUGAAGGACUUUGAUCUUCUUCUGUGUCAGAGGUGACAGCACAAUGCAGACUUCUUCAUACCUCAGACUGAUGAAGAGUGGAUUCCUUCCACCAGGCUGGGUGUUGUGCCAUCAUCUUUUGAAACAAUCCCUGCUACAAAGAGUUACACACAUACUAAACAAGUGGGAAAUCAAACCCUGAGGAGGUUGUGACUUCCCCAGAAGUCACCUGGAGGGUAACAGCAGAGCUGAGAGUGCUCCGGACCCAGCAGUGCCAGUGCCAGGGGCACCAUAUCCUGCCUGGGACCAGGAGCUGGCAAAGCACGUGCUGGGAGCACAUCUGCUUGUGGAGAGAGUCUGUGCUGCAACUACGGAGUCAAACAGCAAAGCACUGCAAAGCACUUCUCUGCUGCGAGCUAAAAUAGAUGGCGUUGCUGGGCUAUCUAUGGUGCAGAAGGGGGAUGUGAAGCAAUCACGGGGACGUAACACAGGAGGAAUCACUUUCCAGUUUCCCUCGGUGCAUUGGUGAAGCUCUGCUGGCUGACCCAGACUGGUGACUGGGAGCAGAAUCACGCAGGAGAUGGCCUCAUAGAGCCCAUCAGGCAGUGGCUGCUCAGCAGGUGACAUUGCGGCUGUGCCCACCUCCCCACCCCGAGCUCCUGCUGCUGCCUGCACAGCUCGCUGCGAUGCCCACGAGGAAAGAGGAGGAAAACCCUUCAGAUGGAGUAAUUCUCACUGUUCCUUACGUCUACCAGCACCAGCCGGGAUAACAUCAACAAAAUGUCAUAGAAAGUUUGGUUUAAGCUCUUAAUAUAUGUCAGCUGUAGCUUGUAAAAGUUGGAUUGGCUUUUUAAGCAAAAUAGCCCCAAGAUAGGUUUUACUGUAAUUGUAUCUUCUGCAGUUGGGCUUUGGGAGUUUUCUCCUUAGGAGUGGCAAAGGAGAGAGUUAUCAGCGAGGGGUCCGGGCAGAGGGAGAGCAGCUCCACGGAGCAGCACGGGGGAGGAAGGGCACAAACAGAAGUGUGGGGCUGCAGUGCUGGUGCUUCCCAGCACCUCCUUGGAGGAUUGCCCUGCACACCAUCUCCUAUCUCCCAUCCCCUGGGCCUUUUGUGGAUCUUCUUGUUGCUUUGCUUUCCCCAGUUAGAAAAUCCGUCUGUUCUUUUGGUGAAAGUUAACUGUCCAAUAGUCCUGAAAUGCAAAGUGUUUUCGUUACUUUUAUUUCUGAAGUAUGUAGGUUUAUGUCAGGGCACACACAGCUCUUCAUAAGAUCUGCAGGAGCAGCUGUUCCUGCUUGGGGCAGGAACCCAAAAUCAUGGCUGGGCGCUCCUGGUUCUGCUCCAGCGAGAUGCCAUUUUUCUGAUGUGGUCUGAAAAAGCCAUCUCCCAUUUAAUGAUGUUCAUCAGGUGUGUGCUCAUGGGAAGAUCCUCGGGCUGUGUCACCCAAGAGUGCUGUGGCACACAGAGACCUGGUCGGAGAGGAGGUGGCCAGCAAAAGCCUCCUGCUCUGGGGGAACAUACAGCACCUGCAGCACAUUGAGCUGCAGGGUUUGGCCUGGGG